GCCCUUUCUUUAAACGCAGUUUU
rnacentral:siRNA from 1 species